rnacentral:rRNA from 1 species
GGAAGGGGUGUAUUUAUUAGAUAAAAAACCAAUGCCCUUCGGGGCUUCUUGGUGAUUCAUGAUAACUUUACGGAUCGCAUGGCCUUGCGCCGGCGACGGUUCAUUCAAAUUUCUGCCCUAUCAACUUUCGAUGGUAAGGUAUUGGCUUACCAUGGUUUCAACGGGUAACGGGGAAUUAGGGUUCGAUUCCGGAGAGGGAGCCUGAGAAACGGCUACCACAUCCAAGGAAGGCAGCAGGCGCGCAAAUUACCAAUCCCGACACGGGGAGGUAGUGACAAUAAAUACUGAUACAGGGCUCUUUUGGGUCUUGUAAUUGGAAUGAGUACAAUUUAACCUCUUAACGAGGAACGAUUGGAGGGCAAGUCUGGUGCCAGCAGCCGCGGUAAUUCCGGCUCCAAUAGCGUAUAUUAAAGUUGUUGCAGUUAAAAAGCUCGUAGUUGAAACUUGGGUCUGGCUGGCAGGUCCGCCACACCGCGUGUACUUGUCCGGCCGGGCCUUCCUUCUGGAGAACCUCAUGCCCUUCACUGGGUGUGCUGGGGAACCAGGACUUUUAC